AACCAUUGCCAUAGGAGCAUCUGACAACACUUAAUGGGAAAAAAUUAUCUGUUACAUCCUUUUUUAUUUCCCUCCACAAUAUUUCACAUAAGUCUGCCAAAAGAACAUUUCUCAAUAGAAAAUAUCAAAAACCCCUCUUUCUUUCUCAUAAAAACCAUAACCCUAUUUCUUUCUCAUCAACAAAAAUCGAUUGUAAUUACACUAUCGAAAAUUCAUUUCUCAUCGAGUAAAGGAGACGAAGUUACACUGUGAUUUGCUAGAAAACCAUCUCAUCGAGUAAAGGAGACGAAAGUUACUGAGAUUUGCUAGAAAACCCAUUUCUCAAUUAAUCGAAAACCCAUUUCUCCUCAAUUGAAUUUUGGGGGUGAUUUUGUAGCUCCAAUUGCCUGGGGAGUAGCUCUAAUUGUGGAAAUGGAGUAAAGGAGAUGGAUCGAAAACCCAUUUCCUAGAAAUGGAAAUGCUAUAAGUAGCUCCAAUCGAAAACCCAUUUCUCCUCAAUCUAUUAGACUAGCUGUAAUUUCCAUUGUUGUUGUUCGGUUGCGGUAUGAGUGGAUCGAAACUCAACACUUAGUUUGUUGUUGACUGGUGGAAAGGAGAAGAAAAAGUUAACGGCUAUCGGAGCUUCGGCGAGUCGGCUUUCAGCAUUUUUAAGCAUUGAUGUUUCUGAAUUUUGGAAUUUUAAGGAAAGCCGGAAGCUUUGGGUGAUCAGCACGAGCAACAUCAAAGUACUGUAUGCAGUCUUGGACUAAAGGUUGAAUACUUGAGCCAACACACAAUAGCCAAAGCUUUUCAUCGGGAUAAUUUUGAUUCUUAUUUUUGCACUAGUUGUUAUCAUGGGGUGAGUGAGGAGGUGGGUGGGGUAUGGGUAGACAGAGUUUCAAAUGAAAUAGUUUUGACUUCUUUUUUUUGAGUUGCUGGUGUAAGAUGGUAUAUUGCAUUCAAACACAUAUACACAAUCUAUGCACAUGUAAUUGUGUUAAGCUGUCUAUAAAGGUCAUAUUUUGCUAUAGUUUUUCAAUUUUUUGAAUGGGAGUGGUAAUGGAAUGUGCCUACUUUGAUUUCCUUGUGUGAUGAUUAAACACUUAAUUGAACUAAGAAAAUCUCCAUUUUGUUGAUUAGAUUUAGAUUUUCUAUUAAUUGUUGUGCCAAUUAGUGAAAAUCUAAGUUGCUCGAACUCUCCAAAAUAUUACCACACCUUUGUCAGCUUCUUCAAAAAAUGCACUCGAUGACAUUUUUGAAUAGUCUAAGCAACUAGUAAAAUUAGUGUUCUUGUCAGAUUGGAGAAUCUUAAUUACUAUCUGUGGUCUUUAUUAAUGUUAAGAGUUUCUUUUUUGGAUCAAUAUCUUGAUGUGGUCUCUAUUAAUGUUAAGAUUUUCUAUUUCAGAACUGUCUACCUCUGUAUGUUUUGAACUUUUAUUUAUAAAGGGUGAAGUGUUACUUGACUUGGUGCCUCAGGUGGGAAGUUUACAAGUUUACAGGAUAAAUUAGGAGUAUUUACUAGGUAAAUUUCAACAUGGACUAUGAAUGCUGAAAAAGAGUGUUUAUACCGUAGUUUGUACUUGUAUUAUUGCGUGAUCUGUUUUAAUUUGUUUAGUUGAAAAUAAUAUAUUUGUGUAUCAUAAUUUGUUUGAAAUUUGUUGAUUUGGAUGUGUUAUGUAGGAUAAAUUAGCAUGUUUGCCAACACCUUAGGGAUAAUCUUGUACAAAAUAGUCCAGCAGGAAAUAAGUCUAAACUCCUCAUAGUAGUAGAAUUAUUGACCUUAGGAUUCAGAGUGAUAGAUGUACAAUUAAUAGGGUGGUGCAUUUUAGAAGUCUUGAAAAAAUCUAAAUAGCAUUUGUAAUUACAUCCCCCAUAAUUGGCUCUUUUUCUUGAAAAAGUGAGCAUUCAGACCAUCAUACCCUUGUUUUUUCAUAACACUAAUACCUGAUAAUGCUUUCCAUACCUCUUCCAUCUCAAUAGGCCCGAUGAAUUACAAUUGAUCUUGUAAGUAUAGCUCGACCUAUUAAAAUAAUAGAAUCCACUGCAGGUAAGAUAGUAACUGCCUCACCUAAUAAUUUUUAUUAGAUAAGGAGAAAUGCAACUUAGUUUGAUUCGCCGCCUCACCUAAGAAAGUUAGUUUGAACUUUUGGUAUCAUUGUUGGUUGGGGUUCGGCUCCCACUCGUGGAUUCUAAUAUUUUGAGAGGUGGUGUUGUACUUACGGAGAUAAUCGAUUGCAACUCAUUAGUCCUAUUGAGAAUGAAGAGGUAUGGAAAGAAUUAUCAGGUAUUAGUAUUAUGAUAAUCCUAGGGUAUGAUGGCCUGAAUGCUAACUUUUUCAAGAAAAUGGGGCCAAUUAUGAGGGAGGAAAUUACAGAUGCUAUUCAAGACUUUUUUAAGACUUUUAAAAUGCACCACCCUAUUAAUUGUUUAUCCAUCACUCUAAUCCCUAAGGUUAAUAAUCCUACUACUGUGAAGGCGCUUAGACCUAUUUCCUGUUGCACUAUUUUGUACAAGAUGAUCCCUAAGGUGUUGUCUAACAUGCUAAACUAAGUAGUGUCUCCGCUGAAAGUCUGACUCUAUGAAAUACAGAUGGUAAUGGUAGAAACAUCUCUACAAGUGAUAAAUGCUUACAGAGCAACAUUUAGGACCUAAAAUCAAUGGUUUUGCGUACAAAUGUCAUCUCAUUACUUUGGGAAUGAUCUAGCAAUUGUUUUACUGAUGACAAUAAUAGCCUAUCAAUUAUAGAUAUUCCGAUUGUUCAUAAAAGACAUUUGUAUGCAAAACUAUAUAUUUUAGGUCCUAAACAUUGCUAUGUAAGAAUUUAUCGCCUGUAGAGAUCUUUGUACCAUUGCCAUCUGUAUGCAAUAGAUUUAGACUUUCAGCAAAGACACUACUUGUUGUAGCAUGUUUGCCAACACCUUACGGAUCAUCUAGUACAAAUUAGUGCAACAAAAUAUAGGUCUAAACUCAUCAUAGUAGUUGGAUUAUUGACCUUAGCAUUCAGAGUGACGGAUGUACAAUUAAUAGGGUGGUGCAUUUUAGAAGUCUUGAAAAAGUCUAGAAUAGCAUCUGUAAUUUCCUCCCACAUAAUUGGCCCCUUUUUCUUGAAAAAGUGAGCAUUCAGACCAUCAUACUCUGGGUUUUUCAUAACACUAAUACCUGAUAAUGCUUUCCAUACCUCUUCCUUCUCAAUAGGCCUGAUGAGUUACAAUUGAUCUUGUAAGUAUAGCUCUACCUCUUAAAACAUUAUAAUCCACUGCAGGUAAGAUAGUAGCUGCCCCACCUAAUAAUUUUUGUUAGAUAAGGAGAAAUGUAGCUUAGUUUUAUCCGCCGCCUCACCUAAGAAAGUUAGUUUGAACUUUUGGUAUCAGUGCCGGUUGGGGUUCAGCUCCCACUAUGGAUUCUAAUGUUAUGAGAGGUGGUGCUGUACUUACGAGAGAUAAUCAAUUGCAACUCAUUAGUCCUACUGAGAAUGAAGAGGUAUGGAAAGCAUUAUUAGGUAUUAGUAUCAUGAAAACCCCAUGGUAUUAUGGUCUGAAUGCUCACUUUAUCAAGAAAAUGGGGCCAAUUAUGGGGUAGGAAAUUACUGAUGUUAUUCUAAACUUUUUCAUGACUUCUAAAAUGCACCACCCUAUUCAUUGUACAUCCAUCACUCUGAUCCCCAAGGUCAAUAAUCCUACUACUUUGAAGGAGUUUAGACCUAUUUCAUGCUGCACUAUUUUGUACAAAUUGAUCCAUAAGAUGUUGGCAAACAUACUAUAACAAGUAGUGUCUUCGCUGAAAGUCUAAAUCUAUGGAAUACAGAUGGUAAUGGUACAAAGAUCUCUACAGAUGAUAAAUGCUUAAAGAGCAAUGUUUAGCAUAAAAAAUCUAUGGUUUUGCAUGCAAAUGUCAUCUUAUAACUUUGGGAAUUAGAUAGCAAAUUAUUUUACUAAUGACAAUAAUAGCUUGUCAGUUAUAAAAAUUCUGAUUGUUCAUAAGAGACAUUUGUAUGCAAAACCAUAUAUUUUAGGUCCUAAACAUUGAUGUGUAAGAAUUUAAUGCAUGUAGAGAUCAUUGUACUAUUACCAUCUGUAUGCCAUAGAUUUAGACUUUCUGUAGAGACACUACUUGUAGCAUGUUUGCCAACACCUUAGGGAUCAUCUUGUACAAAACAGUACAGCAAGAAAUAAGUCUAAACUAUUCAUAGUAGUAGGAUUAUUUACCUUAGGAUUCAGAGUGAAGAAUGUACAAUUAAUAGGGUGGUGUAUUUUAGAAGUCUUGAAAAAAUCUAGAAUAGCAUCAGUAAUUUCCCCCCCAUAAUUGGCCCCAUUUUCUUGAAAAAGAGAGCAUUCAGACCAUCAUACCCUGGGUUUUUCAUAACACUAAUACCUGAUAAUGCUUUCCAUACCUCUUUCUUCUCCAUAGGCUUGAUGAGUUACAAUUGAUCUUGUAAGUAUAGCUCCACCUCUUAAAAUAAUAGAAUCCACUGCAGAUAAGAUAAUAACUGCCGCACCUAAUAAUUUUUGUCAGAUAAGGAGAAAUGCAACUUAAUUUAAUCCGAUGCCUCACCUAAGAAAGUUAGUUUGAACUUUUGGUAUCAUUGUCGGUUGGGGUUCGACUCCCACUCGUUGAUUGUAAUAUUUUGAGAGGUGGUGUUGUACUUACAGAGAUAAUCAAUUGCAACUCAUCUAUCCUAUUGAGAAUGAAGAGGUAUAAAAAGCAUUAUCAGGUAUUAGUGAUAUGAAAACCCAAGGGUAUGAUGGUCUGAAAGCUUACUUUUUCAAUAAAAUGGGGCCAAUUAUAGGGGAGGAAAUUACAGAUGUUAUUCUAGACUUUUUUAAGACUUCUAAAAUGCACCACCCUAUUAAUUGUUCAUCCAUCACUCUAAUCCCUAGGUCAAUUAUAGCGACCUAAGUCUGUACCCCGACACUACAUGAUGCUUACAACCCCGAGGGACGAAAAGAUAACCCAUGACUGAUAUCUGUUGUGAGCACUAAAUAAUAAUACUGUAAUAAUAUGGAAAAUAGGCUGAAAUGCCAUAAGGUUCAAAAUCUGAAAUAUUGGUAAAU